rnacentral:rRNA from 1 species
UACGGGGGGAGCAAGCGUUGUUCGGAUUUACUGGGCGUAAAGGGCUCGUAGGCGGCCAACUAAGUCACACGUGAAAUCCCCGGGCUCAACCUGGGAACUGCAUUGGUGACUGCAAGGCUUGAGUGUGUCAGAGGGAGGUGGAAUUCCGCGUGUAGCAGUGAAAUGCGUAGAUAUGCGGAGGAACACCGAUGGCGAAGGCAGCCUCCUGGGAUAACACUGACGCUCAUGCACGAAAGCGUGGGGAGCAAACAGG